UACGUAGGUCCCGAGCGUUGUCCGGAUUUAUUGGGCGUAAAGCGAGCGCAGGUGGUUUAUUAAGUCUGGUGUAAAAGGCAGUGGCUCAACCAUUGUAUGCAUUGGAAACAGGUAGACUUGAGUGCAGGAGAGGAGAGUAAAAUUCCAUGUGUAGCGGUGAAAUGCGUAGAUAUAUGGAGGAACACCGGUGGCGAAAGCGGCUCUCUGGCCUGUAACUGACACUGAGGCUCGAAAGCGUGGGGAGCAAACAGG
rnacentral:rRNA from 1 species